GCGGGCGUGGCCAAGUGGUAAGGCAACGGAUUGUGGCUUCGUUAUUCGCGGGUUCGAUCCCCGUCGUUCGCC
rnacentral:tRNA from 1 species